CCUGCUCUCUCUAGCCAGCCCCUACUCUCUCCUAUGUAACUGGAACUUCUGUCGUAAGCAUGUAAGGAAGGGCUUACUGUGCACAAUGCACUGCCCCAAGAUCAAGGGUCAAGAUGAAAAGCAGCGUUGGAAGCACAAUGUGGGGGUGACUAUAUUCUCUUCCUGCAAGACUUGCCCCCCACCUCCCCCAUGGGUGAACAGGGUGGCUGUGAAGAGCAAAUGAGAUAAACCACAGGGAAAAGCUUUGCAAAUGCAAAGGUGCUAUACAAGGCUAUAAGAGGACAAAUGCUUUCAGAAUUAAUAUGGACAUCUUCAUGGGAAAAAAAAUCUUGAAACUAAAAAAGAAAAUCACUGAAUUUAUAUAAUAAAACCCUUUGGAAGGGAUCAGAACAGCAAAGUAGACUCAUGGUAAAAAAUGCAAAGUGAUUAGAGAUAGUAUACUCUAACCCUUCUUUUUUAUAGAUGAAACUGAGGCCUGUUGGAGUUAAAAUAAUUCAUCUAAAGAGAGAUAGCAGGGCAGUGCCAGAAAUGGGUCUCCUUGUUUCAUGGGUAGUGCAUACUCUACUAAACCACUCUGCCCGUCAACAAGUAACUUUAUUAGCAGAGGGUAUUGCACAGAACUUUUCUUUGUAUUUGUCAGCUCAAAAACUUUUGCUGAGUGUGUGAAAUGGGGUGUCCUUUAUUCUACUAUUUAUGGAGAUGUCACAGAGGAUCCACGAAGGAAGUUCACAAAGGAAGCACCAAGACAAUAUACAGGGCAAGAAUCUCCUCCAUUGGUCCCCAAGAUCCUGAUGGUGUACCCUAAGAGACAUUUUGUCACCUAUAACUCUGUGUCAUCAUUUGAGACUAAUCAGAGUGAAAUCACUCUGAAUCAUUGAACUUUGUUAUAUUUAAUACAACUAAUACCUUACUGACUCUAAAUGCAUCCAGUUUGAAUGUGAUGAGUCAGGACUAGGAUUUUGGAUAAAAGGGUUAUGGAUUCACAUGAACAUUAGGCACUAGUGGGCUUGUCUCCAGGAAAAUAUCUGGACUGAAUGGCCAAAAGGCUGAGACUUGGUCUCCUGGAGCAAAAUAAGAAGAGAGUGAAAACAAACAGUUCUUAUGCUUUAGCAUUGAAGGUGGAGGGUACUUAACAAAAACAACAUGAAGGCUUUUUGAGAUGGUUUUUUGUUUGUUUUUAUUUUUGUUUUGGCCUCAAUAAUCAACACUGAUCAAUUUCAACAGAUUCUUGUUCAGUUUCGGUUACAAAUAUCUAUGUCAAAAUUUUCCUUGGUAAAGUUAAGUAGAUAAAAGCAGACAUGCCAUAUUUCUAGCCCUAUUUCUGUUCCCUGGCUCUCUGAUCCACUCCCCUGGUUUAUCUGGAUAAGUAUAUAUCUCAAGUCUUCCUGGUGGAGACCUGGCCUUCGUUGAUUUUCCAUCCUAAAGGAAGAAGAGCAAAGAGGCCACAGAAAACCUUAUAUUUUCCUUUUUAAUCUAAUUCCUGAGUGCCAUUUCCACUUCCAUCUUCAUUUUUAGGCUGACCAGUCAGAAGGCCAUGUCCUCCUCGGCUGCCUCUAUGUCCAGACACUGGAAGAAUUACUCAAGACCUAACUUUCUUUUUAUUACACUUCUUAGGAGUACCAGGUAAUACAUCAACUGAGCAAGGACAGAUACAGAAAAGCAAUAUUUACAAUGAGUUAUGAUGUAAAAGAGAUGACUUUCUAUUAUGUUUUAUCAAAGGCAGCCACUAACAAGCAUAAUGUAAUUCACAAUGCUUAAGCAGGGCGGCUUUAAUUGCAGCAGUCAUUAAGUUCACAGGAUCAUUGAAUGCAUUAAGGGAGGGAGCCAGUGAGCUAUCAUGAAUGAAAUAAGGCCCCCCACUCACCCCACUUCACCUAUGUAACUGGUUUGAACUUAGUCCGGGUCUCUGAUGUGUCACAACCCUUGACUUCCUCUUCUCCUUCCUGUAGAAAGUCACCAUGACUAUUUCAGAGCAGCUCAAACACAGUAGCAUUUAAGAGGAAAGACAGAGGUGUUGUCAAACUAUAUUUAAAUUUACCAGUGGAUUACAUUUUUCCUAUUACCUCUUACAGCAUUUUAAAGUUUGAAGUCUACUCACAUCUAUUUUUGAUAAGUUUAUCAUCUUCAGAAGUCUACAUAAGAAGUACUAGCAUCAAAAAGUUCCAUCUCCCCAGUAAUGACAGAAAUGUAAAUGGAGACCUAUCAGAUUAAUAAAAACUAGAAAUGAAUGGUUUUUUUUAUUGGUGGAACGUAUAUAGGGAAAUAGGCACUUUCUUAUAUUGC